rnacentral:tRNA from 1 species
GCGGUUGUGGUGUAAUGGUAACACUACAGUUUGUGGCACUGUCGAUCCGGGUUCAAUUCCCGGCAAUCGCCCA